GGGUGCGAUCAUACCAGCACUAAUGCACCGGAUCCCAUCAGAACUCCGAAGUUAAACGUGCUUGGGCGAGAGUAGUACUAAAAUGGGUGACCUCUUGGGAAGUCCUCGUGUUGCACCCC
rnacentral:rRNA from 1 species